GCAAAGUUUCUCAAGUGUUUUUUGUUAAGGACAAUCUUAUAAAAGGAUGGCGCACAGUUGUGAAAAAUCCAUCACAUCAUGCUUACAGUAUACCACAUGCACAGUCUGACGAUGAAGCCUCUGAAGCUGAAUUUGACAACGGCGAUGAAGACGACAUGCUUCAAAAGUCGAUAACACCAUCACGUAGCAAGAGAACAACAUGAUGGCACUAGUUUAUGCAGCUCUUAAUCUGUACUAAUCGAUUUUCUUCAUAUUUUAGCUUUUACCUUCUUAAUAAACAGUGACACCAGUAGUUAUAUACUUACUCUAUUUGAUUUAGCAUUCAGUAAUUCAUUUUCUGUACAUCAACAUUGACUUACUUUACUUUGUAUAGCCUUUGUGCACACUUCAAACUUGACAGCAUUAGCUUGGGAAAGAUGCCGCUCACAACUGAAUAAGUCUGGACUGGUACACCAAGGUAUUGCUAGGCAGACCUUGCCGGAGAAAUCAAGUCAAAUAGCAGAUUUUAGUAGAAAAAGGGUUACUCACAAGCCUCAAUUGCAAGAUUAGGAACUCUGGAAAAAGUACGAGUUAGCUACACAGAUGGAAAUGAUGCGCCAACAAAUACACCAAUCUUGUUUAGUACAAAUUGGGAUGCUGAUGAUUCCGAGAAUAUGAAUGGUGAAGUUGAUGCCAGCAUAAUGGUGACAUGGAUGAAUUUUAUGACGCUACAAAUGGUGUAGAUGAAUUAAUGGGUAAUAAAGAUCUGGAAAGUGAAGAAUCGCAGUGUAACCAUGGGCCUUGAGCUACCUCAAAGACUAGUAAGCAUGAAAAUCCAACUGGAUUAGUUGAUGAAAAUCUGGAAAGUGAAGUGCAAGGACAUGGGAGGAAAGGAAAACAGGCCACCAACUAUGGAUAAACUAUUUUGUUUCAGUUGAAUCCUGGUCUUUCAAAUGAUGAAGUCAUGCAAAAAAUGUGAUACAUAUAAGUGGCAUGGUCGCAUAGUUGGCUUUGGUGGUGGAAUUAAAGCAAGAGGUUUGCGAGGACGAGCAUUAAGUAAGGCUGAAUUGUUUUCUAAACGUCAAGCUUCUGAGAAAGCAAAACAAGUACUCGAAGAAAAGGUUAAUGGCAUGGUGCAAGAAGUGUCAGAAAUUCAGUGUCUUCUGUCCGGUAGAUCUCUAAGUGAUGGUUCUCAUGAACGCCAACAAGAUCAAGUCAGUUGUUCUCAUACAUUGAUUUUAUAUGUCAUUAUACUUUGAGACCAUUUAUUUACAUGGACCGACUUUGAUAAACUACUCAACAUUCUGUAGGACUGAUGGUCCACCGUAAUAUACAGAAGAACAAGGAGGCAUUGUAAAUGCUGAUGAAGAUCAAACAACGAUGGUGUCCCUUGAUUGAAGAUUAAUAAAUAUUAUCAAUUAUCUAUUCUAGUUUUCUCGUUUUGUAGAUAGAUAUA